ACAUGACUGGCUCAGUCGGUGGAGCAUGGGACUAUUGAUCUCGGGGUUGUGAGUUCGAAUCUCGUGUUGAGUG
rnacentral:tRNA from 1 species